GAUGCAACGCGAAGAACCUUACCUGGCCUUGACAUACUAAGAACUUUCCAGAGAUGGAUUGGUGCCUUCGGGAACUUAGAUACAGGUGCUGCAUGGCUGUCGUCAGCUCGUGUCGUGAGAUGUUGGGUUAAGUCCCGCAACGAGCGCAACCCUUUUCCUUAUUUGCCAGCGGGUAAUGCCGGGAACCUUAAGGAUACUGCCAGUGACAAACUGGAGGAAGGCGGGGACGACGUCAAGUCAUCAUGGCCCUUACGGCCAGGGCUACACACGUGCUACAAUGGUCGGUACAAAGGGUUGCUACCUCGCGAGAGGAUGCUAAUCUCAAAAAGCCGAUCGUAGUCCGGAUCGCAGUCUGCAACUCGAGUGCGUGAAGUCGGAAUCGCUAGUAAUCGCGGAUCAGAAUGCCGCGGUGAAUACGUUCCCGGGCCUUGUACACACCGCCCGUCACACCAUGGGAGUUUGUUGCACCAGAAGUAGGUAGUCUAACCGCAAGGAG
rnacentral:rRNA from 1 species